UCCCCAUGAAGAAAUAUUCACACGUCCUACUUCCUGUCCUAGCCCCAGAGCCUGAAAAGGUGAACCCACUGGGGCUGGCUGGGGGAAAAGAGGAAAUUUUGUUCCAGAAGGAACUGUCUGAGGGAU